AAAGUUUGAAGAGAGAUAUUCUCUCUUGAUACAUAAAGGAGUAAAGAAUGCAAAAUGUCGGCGAGCGGCGGACGGCUGAGUAACGCGUGGGAACAUACCCCAAAGUGAGGGAUAACGCACCGAAAGGUGUGCUAAUACCGCAUAUGAUCUUCGGAUUAAAGCUUUAUGCGCUUUGGGAAUGGCCUGCGUCAGAUUAGGUUGUUGGUGAGGUAAAGGCUCACCAAGCCGAUGAUCUGUAACUGGUUUGAGAGGAUGAUCAGUCAGACUGGAACUGAGACACGGUCCAGACUCCUACGGGAGGCAGCAGUGAGGAAUCUUUCACAAUGGGGGAAACCCUGAUGGAGCAACGCCGCGUGCAGGACGAAGGCCUUCGGGUCGUAAACUGCUUUUAUUUAUGAUGAAUUUGACAGUAGUAAAUGAAUAAGGAUCGGCUAACUACGUGCCAGCAGCCGCGGUCAUACGUAGGAUCCAAGCGUUAUUCGGAGUGACUGGGCGUAAAGAGUUGCGUAGGUGGUUUAUUAAGUGAAUAGUGAAAUUCGGUGGCUCAACCAUUCGAACUGUUAUUCAAACUGAUAAACUUGAGAGUAGUAGAGGUAACUGGAAUUUCUAGUGUAGGAGUGAAAUCCGUAGAUAUUAGAAGGAACACCAAUGGCGUAGGCAGGUUACUGGACUAUUUCUGACACUGAGGCACGAAAGCGUGGGGAGCGAACGGGAUUAGAUACCCCGGUAGUCCACGCCGUAAACGAUGGAUACUAGCUGUUUGAGGUAUCGACCCCUUGAGUAGCGAAGCUAACGCGUUAAGUAUCCCGCCUGUGGAGUACGA
rnacentral:rRNA from 1 species